UACGUAUGGUGCAAGCGUUGUUCGGAUUGACUGGGCGUAAAGCGCACGUAGGCGGGUUUGCAAGUGAGCUGUGAAAGCCCCGGGCUUAACCUGGGAACUGCGGCUCAAACUGCUUAUCUUGAAUACCCUAGAGGUUGGUGGAAUUCCAGGUGUAGGAGUGAAAUCCGUAGAGAUCUGGAGGAACAUCGGCGGCGAAGGCGGCCAACUGGGGGUGUAUUGACGCUGAGGUGCGAAAGCGUGGGGAGCAAACAGG
rnacentral:rRNA from 1 species